GAUGAAGAACGCAGCGAAAUGCGAUAAGUAGUGUGAAUUGCAGAAUUCAGUGAAUCAUCGAAUCUUUGAACGCACAUUGCGCCCCUCGGUAUUCCGUGGGGCAUGCCUGUUCGAGCGUCAUUUAGCCCCUCAAGCCUAGCUUGGUAUUGGGUGCUUGUCCCGCCUCUCGCGCGGCGACUCACCUCAAAGUCAUUGGCAGCCCGCAUCUCGCCGGCCGUGAGCGCAGCACAGACGCGCUCUUGGCAACGACGGAUCGGCUCUCCAAAAGCUUAUUUCAACCACUGACCUCGGAUCAGGUAGGGAUACCCGCUGAACUUAAGCAUAUCAAUAAGCGGAGGA
rnacentral:misc_RNA from 1 species